CAUGGAAAUGACAGUUAGAGGGAGAGUGAGGAAUUGAUGGAGGAAGACACAUCUCCUCAACUUAGCUCUCUCCAGCUCUAGUGAAAAAUCUACCCACAUGGUCUAAUUUGAUUCCGUGUUGUUCCUGAUUGAUGCCAGACAUGUCACUGACAUCUACUGACUCCCAAGAAGACAUUUACAGUGAAAUUGACUUGGACUUCUGAGUUACCUCAAGUGGGCUCAGUCUACAGCCGGUGGUGACUAGGUCAUUUCUGUCACCAUCCUUCUGAUUGAUCAACUAGCUCUGAUUUUAAUUCAAAGACUGUUUGGGUGGCCUUAGACUAGUUUAUUUAGACAGAAAGGUGGAACUAGGCAGAGAGGGAGGCAGAGUAGGUCCAACAUUGUUGGACAGUGAAGAGAUCUGUGAGGAUCAGAGUUAUCUGGGAUAGAUAGAUUUGGGAAAAGAUUGGGGACCUUCCUAGCCCACCAUCCUUGCCCACUUUUCCUGAAUAGCAACUUUAAUAAUCCUACUUUUGUUUAUAAGAACAUCAGAAAGUUUUUGUCAGUGAACUCCAGGCCUGAGGCUAUCCAUCUUGCCCUCAGGCCAGGGAGGAGCAGCUAAACAAUAACAAGAUUAAACUAACCUUUUCACUGGUUCAAAUGUCCAUCUAACAGUUGUAAAUGUAUAAAAUCAUGCAAUCUUAAAGUUGAAAGUCACCUGAAAGAUCACAUAAAUUGGAUUCUCUCCAAUUUUCAAGGCAUUUGCUCUAUGCUAUCAUUGAUGAUUGUUCCUGCUUAAAUACUUCUCAUGAAGUAUUAGAAAGAAUUCUUUAAUUUUCAAAGAAUCCUGUAUUGUUGGACAGUUGCAUUUUAUCAUGUCACUCUUCAACUCUAAAGCUGAAGUUUUACCAAGCUCUAGUGGCUACCUAUUGCUUGUAGACCAAAAUACCAACUCCUUUGUUUCUCUUUUGAAAUCUUUCAUAAUCUGGUACCAGACUAUCUUCCCAGGGUUAUUACACUUUCUGCUACCUAGCUCUAGGACCUUGAGAUCAUCCCAUUGCUUCUCUGGGCUUUAAUUUGCUCACUGAUGAAAUGGGAUGAUUGGAUUGCUAUUGCUGAACCUUCAUUUUCAAAGAGGACCAAUAAGUGUUGGGGAAGUGAUUGAGAGGAUGACAUCUUGCUUUGCCUGUGAAUUGGAUUUAAACACAAAGUAGAUAUCUACUAAAGCUCCCUGUAGUUCUAAAUAUGUGAUUCAAAAAAGGGUUGAAGGUAAGUUAAAGCCAUUUUGCAAGGUGGUAGGAGUAAGGUGCUUACAGCUUAGGCUAAGAGGAUUUUAUCCUAUAGGCAACAGGAAGGACAAUGAAAAGUUCUGAGGAGGAGGGCAUGGUCUGAUCCACACUUUAGGAAGAUUAUUUUGGUAGCUACAUGGAAGAUAAAUUGGGAAGGAAAGAGAUUGAGGGUAGGGAGGAUAAUUAGGAGGUUCUUAAGUCAAAAAAGAAGGUAUGAGUUUCUGAAAAAAGGCUUAAUUGGUGGGCAAAAGGAAGAGAUGAUAAUGGAAUUUUUAAAGUGGCUGGUCACUGGGUGAUUUUUUUUUAAGUGUCAAAGGCAGAAAUAAGUUAGGAACACAGAGCAUUUAUUACUCUAAAAAGGGACACAAUGGUUUCCCAAAUUAGCAGAAAUCCAGGAAACAAGACCUGCAGCAUAUAAGACCUUAGUUGAAUAUAUAAAAGGCCAUUUUAUACUGAUAAUUAUUAGCAUAAUAGUUUGUUCCAAAGACCAAAAACUAAAGGGAAAAGGACAUAAAAGUGGGAAGGGGAACAACCAGGUAGAUUGAAAAGACACCAGAGUAUCUGUGGAACUGAAGAUUGUGAACAUUUUGGGAACAGGUGCUAUGACAUACUGGUAUAAGCAAUCAAUCUAUCAAUAAGUAUUAAGUGCCUACUAUGUGCUAGGUACCCUGCUAGGUUUUGAUGUUAUAAGUGCAAAAAAAAUAACAAUUAUUUCAAGGAACUUGUAGUCUAAUGCUUAGCACAGUUCUUGUCAUAUAAUAGGUACUUAAUAAAUGUUUACUGAUUAAUUAGUAGAUAUCCUAUUUCAUUAUUUGAGGCCGAAAUAGAGCAAAUUGAUUCUAGGAUAUAAUAGAGAACCUUUCUUUCCCAAAUGCUACAAUAAAGUUGACUAGUUUAUCUAACUUAUCUAAUUGUUUUGAUUUUUGUUUUUUAACACUGGAAGGCUUAUCACUUAAUCAAAAUUUGGGAGUUUGAAUAGGCUUCGACCAACCUUCUUAUUUUAUUUUCCCAAUUUUUAAAUUUUUUCAGUGUUAGAUGGAAACAACUUUUGACAAAUGUUUUUAUUUUUUUAACAUUUUAAAAUCUCUUCUUAUUUUAAACAAUUAGUUUACCAAAUAACUUUCUUAAUGCUAUACAAUGAAUUGGUAUCAGAGUCAAGAUGGUAUCUUGGGUUUCCUAAUUUUUAGCUCUGUUCUUUUUCAAACUGAUUUAACAAAUAUUUAUUAACCACUUAAUCUUCAGAAGACUUGUGUGGAUUGCCUUAAGUCUUAGGAAUUUGACUUAUGCAAAGUUUCAUGUUAAGAAGAAAGUGUACCAAAGCAUUGCAUAUAUUGUCAUACAUUUUUGACGUAUUGGUUAUUUUUAUUGAAGUGGUAAGGAAUGAGCCCUGAAUUGUUCAGACAUGGCCAAUACAUGAAUUUAUUUUGCUGGAUUAUCCUUGUUAGAGUAGCUAGGUGGUUCAGUGCUUAGAGUGCCCGACCAGGUGUCAGGAAGACUCCUCUUCCCAAGUUCCUUUUCAGACACUUAUUAGCUGUGUGAACCCCACUCCCCACAGGAAGUAAUUUAACCUAGUUUGCCUCAGUUUCCUCAUCUGUAAAAUGAGCUGGAGAAGGAAAUGGAAAACAGCUCCAGUAUCUUUGCCAAGAAAACCCCAAAUGGGAUUAUGAAGAGUCAGACACAAUUGAAAAUGAUUCAACAACAAAAUUAGUUCCAAGAAAGGGAUCAAAUAUAUGGGUAGAUAUUGCUAGAUGAUUACUGAAAAAAUGAAGAUACGAAAGAAAAGAACAUCACUGAAACAGUUAAAUAUCCAGAAAGGAACUGGAGAGUUUAGAUAGGGAUACAGACAUGCAGUUUGGUACUAUUGUGUCAAAUUUAAACAUUUAAAAUAAAACUAUGUUGAGAGAAGUUUAGUUUUAUUAUAAAAUAUAAUUUUUUAGUUCUUGAUAUUGUCAAAAUGUUCAUGUUUAUAGAUGCUUAUUAAAGUUCAUAAUAAUAUAUGUCCAUAUUUUCAAAAAUGGAGAGUUGGAAGGGACUUAGGAUAUUUACUGGUACACUCUCUUUGUUUUAUAGAUGAGACAACUGAGGCCUUGGAAGUUUAAGGGACUUGCCUGAGGUCACACAGAUAAUGAACAUCAGAGGCAGGUUUCCAAUCCUGGUCCUCUGACUCUAGAAUCAGAAAAGUGGGACUGUGCUCAUUCUUAAGGAAAGAAAAAAAUUUCAACAAUCAGAAAUAUGGGAAAAGGCAUUCCACUCAUGAAGGGCAGAGUCACAAAUGCAAGGAUCCAGGAGAUACCCCAGUGUGAUUAAGGCCUUGGUUUCCUCAUCUGUAAAAUGAAGGAGUUGGACUGGGCCACAGAACUAAGAGACUCUCAGGACCUCCAAGAUCAUUUCAUCCAACCUGUACCAAGACAGGAAUCUCCUAUAUGAUGGUCCUGAUAAGAGUCAUCCAAUCUUUAUUUGAAAUUUCUGAUGAAGAAUAACUUGAUGUGUCUAGAAGAGGCCUAUCACACUUUUGGAUAACUCUAAAUAUCAGAACCUAACAGUGUGCUGAGUCCCAAGCAGGCUUUUGGUACUUCCUUUUUGUUAUAUAAUUGUGAGACACGGGAUAUGAAGAUUUCUGAAGUUAAAAAAAAAUAACAGGAUCAGCAGAAAGGCAUGUGUUGGAGGUGAACAGUCUACAUAGCAUGUUAAAUGCAUGGAAGGAGGUAAGUAGAGACAUGGGAGAGUGAGAGAUGGCCUGAUCACGUGGUGAUAGUGAGGACCAGUCUGAUGUUCCUUGGUGUCCUUGGAUGUCAAGAGGAUAUGAGGAAGGUCCACAAUAUGGUGGCUGGACUCUGUGGGGAACUAAUGAGAGGACACCAACACGAGUUGCACAGGAUCCGCAGACAUGAACUGGUUGGUAUUUGCCUCUUUGAAUUAAUCUUUUAACUAUUCUCCUUGCCCAAAUUUCCUCCCUAUUCCAAAACAUCCUCCAGUCCAUUGUCAAGGUGAUUUGCUGAGGUUCAAUUCUAUCUAUGCCAUCCUAUCUUGCUUAAUAAACUUUUGUGACACCCUAUCACUUCUAGAAUCUGAUAGAAAAUUCUUUAUUUGCCUUUUAAAGUCAUUGACAACCUGACUCCUUCCAAUCUAUUGAAUCAUCAUCUUUUAUUCCUAUCCAUGCGUUCUACAAUUUGGUGACCCUAGCCUCUUCCUUCCUUCCUUCCUUCCUUCCUUCCUUCCUUCCUUCCUUCCUUCCUUCCUUCCUUCCUUCCUUCCUUCCUUCCUUCCUUCCUUCCUUCCUUCCUUCCUUCCUUCCUUCCUUCCUUCCUUCCUUCCUUCCUUCCUUCCUUCCUUCCUUCCUUCCUUUCUUCCUUCCUUCCUUCCUUCCAUUCUUCCUUCCUUCCUCCUUCCUUCUAAUCCUCCCUUCUUUCCUUCCUCCUCCUUUUCCUUCCAUCCUCCUCCCUCCCUCCAUUCCUUCCUUCCUUCCUUCCUUCCUUCCUUCCUUCUUUCCUUCCUUCCUUCCUUCCUUCCUUCCCUCCUUCCUUCCUUCCAUUCUUCCUUCCUUCCUCCUUCCUUCUAAUCCUCCCUUCUUUCCUUCCUCCUCCUUUUCCUUCCAUCCUCCUCCCUCCCUCCAUUCCUUCCUUCCUUCCAUCUUCCUUCGUUCCUUCUUUCCUUCGUUCGUUCGUUCGUUCCUUCCUUCCUUCCUUCCUUCCUUCCUUCCUUCCUUCCUUCCUUCCCUCCUUCCCCUUUUCUCACACACAAAAUUCCUCCUCCCAAGUUGUGUCUCUGUACUGAUUUUCCCCUGAAAUGCUCUUCCUUUUCAUCUCCACCUCCUGGCUUCCUGCCUCCCCUCUCCCUCAUCAUCCCUCUGAGAUUCUUCUGUAUAUAUUUUUAUAUACAGAGCUGUUUGUAUGCUGUUUCCCCAUUAGGAUUUGAGCUCCUUGAGAACAGGGAUCAUGUCUUUUGUUUUUGUACCUCUCUUUACUGUCCUAGAGCUUAACACAAUGCCUGAACUAUAGCAGGUGCUGAGUGAAUGCUUGUUGCUAACUGAAGGGGGCAUCUCCAUCGCUGAGACCACAGACCACAACAGGACAAGAGACUGAGAUGAACAUACAGCCAAAGUUGAGGUGCCAGCUGGAAGAGGCUCCUGGUUUUUUUUUUAUGCCUUUACUUUCAGUCUUAGAAUCAAAGCUAAGUAUCAGUUCCAAGGCAGAAGAACGGUAAGGGCUAGGCAAUUGGAGUUAAGUGACCUGCCCAGGAUGACCUAGCUAGGAAUAGGAAGUGUCUACGGUCAGAUGUGAACCCAGGACCUUCUGUCUUCAGAUCUGGCUCUCUAUCCACUGAGCCACCUAGCUGCCUGCCCCCUCCCCACUGGUUCUUACAAGUAGCACCGUAACAGCCCCCAUAGUAAGCAUGCAAUAAACAUUUGGUUUAAUUGAACUGGUAACUUUAAAGGCAAAGAUGUGUAGCAUAAUUGAAUUUCAGAGCCAAGAGGGGCCUUAGAUGAUCUCAUCCCAUCCACCGCCCUUGUUCUACCCGUGAUGAAACCUAGGUCGAGAGAGGUUAGAACUUUGGUCAAGGUCACAGGGCUCAUUAGCGGCAGAGUCUGGACCAGCUCCUAGUUCAGGACUCUUCCCACUAGCCCAUGCUGAAAUCUGGGCUUGGUUACAACGCCAUAGGUUUGGUUCUUCUGGCCAAGGUAGUCUUUGCUCUACGCCAAAGAACACAAACCAGUCCCAACACAGACCCAUCUCCAGCCUCCCGGCUUGGGCACGGGGCCAUCCCUGCCCUCGUCCAACCCUCCCUCCCACCCCUCUUGGGACCCGUCUGACUCAAGGAUGCAUCCUAGGAGAAAAUGGAAGAAACCGGGUUGUAGCCAGCACCUCCCACGCUAAAAAACACGCGUCUCUCAUCUGCGGCUGCACCGUCUGUAGUUGUACAACAGGAAACAAUACAAAUGUUAUUUUCAAGAGAAAAAAAAGCUGUGAAAACACAAGGUGGUGUCUGUCUAUCUUCCUCUGCUCUCUCCACCCUGAUUCUCCUCUCCAUGAAAGGCCGCAGAAUUUCCAGGGAAGGGUUGUGCUUUCAAGAAUAAAGGGAUGGCGAAGGCGCUUUUGUACGUUCUGCGAGAAGCAGCCGAGCCAGGGGCGUCUGGGUCCACGGGACAGGGGAGUGCCACGGGGCAAGGACGAAAGCAAAGGCAAAAAACAAAAUGCCACCAUUCUGGUGACUGGACGUGGCGUUUGAGGAUAAAGGAAGGCAGAUGCUAUUGCUUGUAGAGGUGAAACUAGCCACAUCCCUGUUGCUUUUGGUGAGGAUUUGUUUAGCUCUAGCUUAAUAAAGGUAAGAGUUUAUAGAGUGCUUCAAAGUUUACAGAGCACUCUGGUUUGCUCCUUACAACAACUCAGUUGUUGAAUUUAUAGUACGGUCGUAAAAUAACACUUCCCUGGGAUGCAGAUGCUAUUAUUGCCCUCAUUUUACAACGGGGAAACUGAGGCAGAGUCUAUGGGUCUUGCCUAGGAUCACAUAACUAGUGAGUGUCUGAGGCUAAAUUUGAACUCAAGUUUUCUUGAUUUGAGGUCCAGGACUGUAUCCUCUGGGCCACUCAGCUUUGGAGAGAGGGGGCUGACCAGAGAAGGCCUUGAAUGUGUCAAAAGGAGAGCAGCUGCACUCUGCUGGGUAAACCGUGGGACCAAUAUUUAAGUAUGAGGAGGAGAAGAGAAGCCGGGAAUUUUGUCCCUCAGUGGGCAGAGCUGGAAAGGAUCACAGGGAUUCCCUAGUCCAGCUCUCUCUUCAUUUCCAGAUGAGGAAAAAUGAGGCACAAAGUUUAAAUGAUUUGCCCAAGUAAGGCCACAUAUUAGAAUUCAAAGCUAGGUUUUCAGACUGCGAAUUCAUUACCCUUCCUGCUGUACCAUGCAGCCUCGAGGCUAGUUUUUCCUUAAAAAGUAUUAAGUUGGGGGUAUUUACAUGGUUCACUGGAUUAAGAGCCAGGCUUAUCCUUGGUUCAAAUCUGGCCUCAGACACUUCCCAGCUGUGUGACCCUGGGCAAGUCACUUAACCCCCAUUGCCCAGCCCUCACCGCUCUUCUGCCUUGGAACCAAUACACAGUAUUGAUUCUAAGAUGGAAGGUAAGGGUUUAAAAAAAAAAAAGCCUUCCUCCUUCAGGCUUCUGGGCUGUGGGUCAGUGUGGCCAGCAGAGGCAGGGAGGCUGUGCCGAACAUUCUUCCCUGGCUCCAGCUAAGCAAGCCUCCUUUUGUUAACUGACUCCAAAGCCUUUCAUUUCAUUCUAUUUUCAAACCUGAUACGCCAGAAUGGCCUGGACUACAACAAAGGCCUUCUAUUUUUUAAUGAGCAGCAUGUAAAAAUGCCUUUGAUCCUAAUUUAAUUUGAGAUCUAGAGCUUCGGAAUGAAAGAACUGAUGGUAGAGAGAAGGAAUUUAACUUUAAAGAACCUUUUUUUUCAAAGCCUUUAAAAAUAGGAUGUUGUGUUCAACAACAACAGCCAUUGGCAAGCUCCAAUCCUGGAGCUGAAUUUCAGUAGACAUUCUCAAUCCCUGUGGGGUCAGGGUGAUGUU